rnacentral:rRNA from 1 species
AUUGAACGCUGGCGGCGUGCCUAACACAUGCAAGUCGAGCGGCAGCGCGGGAGCAAUCCUGGCGGCGAGCGGCGGACGGGUGAGUAACGCUUGGGAAUCUGCCUGUUAGUGGGGACAACCCGGGGAAACUCGGGCUAAUACCGCAUACGCACUACGGUGGAAAGCCGGGGACCGCAAGGCCUGGCGCUAACAGAUGAGCCCAAGUCGGAUUAGCUAGUUGGUAGGGUAACGGCCUACCAAGGCGACGAUCCGUAACUGGUCUGAGAGGACGACCAGUCACACCGGAACUGAGACACGGUCCGGACUCCUACGGGAGGCAGCAGUGGGGAAUAUUGGACAAUGGGGGAAACCCUGAUCCAGCGACGCCGCGUGGGUGAAGAAGGCCUGCGGGUUGUAAAGCCCUUUUCAGUGGGGAAGAAAGCCUCGACCUAACACGUCGGGGUCUUGACGUAACCCAUAGAAGAAGCACCGGCUAACUCUGUGCCAG